GGCAGAGGGAAUUCUUCUCUAACCCUAUUUCUUCGAAUCAGCCCCGAUGGCGAAUCCUGCCGCUUCCCCCUUGAAGAAGGUGAAGGAUUUCUGGGACGCUCAGGUCAACGACGAGCAGAAGUGGGCCUUCAAUUCGAAGUUGAUUCGUGCGGUCCUAGUUUUUGGUGGCUCGGUGGUUCUCAUGCGCAAUUUUGGGGAUCUAAUGGCCAUCUGAAGAAAAAUGAAGUGCCCGGGACAGUGCUUUAGACUUUUAAUAUGCUGGGAACUCUGUAGCCCCGCAGUACUUUUUCUCCUUGGUUUAAUUUCAUU
rnacentral:misc_RNA from 1 species